rnacentral:misc_RNA from 1 species
AAAAAAAAAAAAAAAAAGAAAUAUUAAAUAAUGUAACUUCUUAUGAGUGAUUAUUAACAUUAUUUAUUAUAAUAUUUCAGUUAAUUAAACGCAAGGAUUCUAAUUUCUUUUUUGUUUUGUCAACUAUAUUUUUUAUAUCAAAUAAAAAGAAAAAUUCUUUCUACUAAUUGAAAUUUUCUUUGUUACUUCUUUUUUUCUCUUUUAUUUAUUUUUUUUCGUUUGGUUAUUUUUAUUUGCCCUUUUUCUGGGCCUCAAACAGCCCAUGCAUUCUAGUACUUCUGCUUUCUCCUAUUUUAUUUUCUUUUCUUUUCUAUUUUUUUUAAUUUUCAUUUGCGCCAAGUUUUGAAUUUCUUUCUUCUUUUCCCCUAAAU